GAUAGCGUGGCCGAGCGGUCUAAGGCGCUGGAUUAAGGCUUCGGUGGCGUGGGUUCGAAUCCCACCGCUGUCA
rnacentral:tRNA from 1 species